UACGUAGGGUGCGAGCGUUAAUCGGAAUUACUGGGCGUAAAGCGUGCGCAGGCGGUUUUGUAAGCCAGAUGUGAAAUCCCCGGGCUCAACCUGGGAAUGGCAUUUGGGACUGCAAGGCUGGAGUGCGGCAGAGGAGACUGGAAUUCCUGGUGUAGCAGUGAAAUGCGUAGAUAUCAGGAGGAAUACCGAUGGCGAAGGCAGGUCUCUGGGCUGACACUGACGCUCAUGCACGAAAGCG
rnacentral:rRNA from 1 species